GUGCAGCAGGCGAGAAUUUUUCUCAAUGGGGGAAACCCUGAAGGAGCGACGCCGCGUGGAGGAUGAAGGCUUUCGGGUUGUAAACUCCUGUCAUUUGGGAACAAGGUGCACACGUUAACUGCGUGGGUAUUGAUAGUACCAGAAGAGGAAGGGACGGCUAACUCUGUGCCAGCAGCCGCGGUAAUACAGAGGUCCCAAGCGUUGUUCGGAUUCAUUGGGCGUAAAGGGUGCGUAGGUGGCGCUGUAAGUCGGGUGUGAAAUUUCGAGGCUUAACCUCGAAACUGCAUUCGAUACUGCGGUGCUUGAGGACUGGAGAGGAGACUGGAAUUCAUGGUGUAGCAGUGAAAUGCGUAGAGAUCAUGAGGAAGACCAGUGGCGAAGGCGGGUCUCUGGACAGUUCCUGACACUGAGGCACGAAGGCCAGGGGAGCAAACGGGAUUAGAUA
rnacentral:rRNA from 1 species